rnacentral:rRNA from 1 species
GACGAACGCUGGCGGCGUGCCUAACACAUGCAAGUUGAGCGACGAACCAGGGCUUGCCCUGGGGCAAAGCAGCGAACGGGUGAGUAACACGUGGGUAACCUACCCCGAUAACCGGGACAACCCGAGGAAACUCGGGCUAAUACCGGAUGUGCUCACUGGACUUCGGUUCAGUGCGUAAAGGAAGCUUCGGCCUCCGUAUCGGGAGGGGCCCGCGGCCCAUUAGUUUGUUGGUGAGGUAACGGCUCACCAAGACCGCGAUGGGUAGCUGGUCUGAGAGGCCGAUAAGCCACACUGGAACUGAGACACGCACCAGACUCCUGCGGGAGGCAGCAGUGGGGAAUCGUGCGCAAAGCGCGAAAGCGUGACGCAGCAACGCCGCGUGGGGGAAGAAGGCCUUCGGGUUGUAAACACCUUUCAGGAGGGACGAAGGUUCGGCGGUGAAUAGCCGUCCGGACUGACGGUACCUCCACAAGAAGCCCCGGCUAACUACGUG